UAAUCAACAAAAUUCCAUACAACACCGUCUUAUGCUUAAACCCCGUCUUAUGUGUACAUAGCACCCUUUAGACGGUGUUACCUUUGAACACCGUCUUAUAUACUCAUCAAAUUCAAAUCGCAGAAGCUCCAACAACCCACCAAAUCUUCAUCUUUCUUCCAACUUUCUCACCUUCUUCAUUCUCUCAUCUUCUUCAUCCAACUUUCUCACCUUCUUCACUUAAUUUCAUCAUUAAGAAGCUUUUAAAGCUUUAAGAUGGAUCGCGAUUGGAUGUACUACCGAAAUCGUACAGAUGAAAUAUAUAUAAUGGGUGUUCAAAGUUUUCUUAAGGCCGCCGAAGCUCAUCGCGUGAAUAUGGGAGAUCGAUUAAUAUUUUGUCCCUGUGCAUCGUGUACAAAUUUUCAAAAAUUUGAUAUCAAAGAAAUAAACUUUCAUUUGUUUA